CCUACGGGAGGCAGCAGUGGGGAAUAUUGCACAAUGGGCGAAACCCUGAUGCAGCGACGUCGCGUGAGUGAAGAAGUAUCUCGGUAUGUAAAGCUCUAUCAGCAGGGAAGAAAAUGACGGUACCUGACUACGAAGCCCCGGCUAACUACGAGCCAGCAGCCGCGGUAAUACGUAGGGGGGAAGCGUUAUCCGGAUUUACGGGGGGUAAAGGGAGCGUAGACGGCAGCGCAAGUCUGAAGGGAAAUCCCAUGGCUUAACCAUGGAACUGCUUUGGAAACUGUGCAGCUGGAGUGCAGGAGAGGUAAGCGGAAUUCCUAGUGUAGCGGUGAAAUGCGUAGAUAUUAGGAGGAACACCAGUGGCGAAGGCGGCUUACUGGACUGUAACUGACGUUGAGGCUCGAAAGCGUGGGGAGCGAACAGGAUUAGAUACCCUGGUAGUC
rnacentral:rRNA from 1 species